rnacentral:rRNA from 1 species
AACGAGCGCUGGCGGCAGGCCUAACACAUGCAAGUCGAACGCUGUAGCAAUACAGAGUGGCAGACGGGUGAGUAACGCGUGGGAACAUGCCCUUCGGUUCGGAAUAACUCAGGGAAACUUGAGCUAAUACCGGAUACGCCCUUAGGGGGAAAGAUUUAUUGCCGGAGGAUUGGCCCGCGUCCGAUUAGCUAGUUGGUGAGGUAAUGGCUCACCAAGGCGACGAUCGGUAGCUGGUCUGAGAGGAUGAUCAGCCACACUGGGACUGAGACACGGCCCAGACUCCUACGGGAGGCAGCAGUGGGGAAUAUUGGACAAUGGGCGCAAGCCUGAUCCAGCCAUGCCGCGUGAGUGAUGAAGGCCCUAGGGUUGUAAAGCUCUUUCGCCAGGGACGAUAAUGACGGUACCUGGAUAAGAAGCCCCGGCUAACUUCGUGCCAGCAGCCGCAGUAAAAC